UUAAACCUCUCCUCGCUCAAUUAUGAUUGAUGGGAAAUAUUACUACUGGCUGCAAGUCCAACCUGGGCUUUACGGCUUAAAAAUUGCUCGGUUUUUCAUUUUUUGACUGACUAUUACCCUUUGGUAGAAACUCUACUAUAAGCAUACCUAGUCACAUCAUCUAGUCUAACCCACCACUUUUUUAC
rnacentral:misc_RNA from 1 species